GACGAACGCUGGCGGCGUGCUUAACACAUGCAAGUCGAACGGAAAGGCCCUGCUUUUGUGGGGUUCUCGAGUGGCGAACGGGUGAGUAACACGUGAGUAACCUGCCCUUGACUUUGGGAUAACUUCAUGAAACUGGGGCUAAUACCGGAUAUGAGCUCCUGCUGCAUGGUGGGGGUUGGAAAGUUUCGGCGGUUGGGUAUGGACUCGCGGCUUAUCAGCUUGUUGGUUGGGUAGUUGCUUACCAAGGCUUUGACGGGUAGCAGGCCUGUGAGGGUGACCGGGGACAUUGGGACUGAGAGACGGACCAGAGUCCUACGGGAGGCAGCAGUGGGGAAUAUUGCACAAUGGGAGGAAGCCUGAUGCAGCAACGCCGCGUGCGGGAUGACGGCCUGCGGGUUGUAAACCGAUUUCGCCUGUGACGAAGCGUGAGUGACGGUAAUGGGUAAAGAAGCACCGGCUAACUACGUG
rnacentral:rRNA from 1 species